rnacentral:rRNA from 1 species
CGCGAAUUGCCCUUCGGGGUGCACAGGCGCGAAAACUUUACAAUGCGGGAAACCGUGAUAAGGGGACACCGAGUGCCAGCAUCAUAUGCUGGCUGUCCAGGUGUGUAAAAUACACCUGUUAGCAAGGGCCGGGCAAGACCGGUGCCAGCCGCCGCGGUAACACCGGCGGCCCGAGUGGUGAUCGUGAUUAUUGGGUCUAAAGGGUCCGUAGCCGGUUUGGUCAGUCCUCCGGGAAAUCUGACGGCUCAACCGUUAGGCUUUCGGGGGAUACUGCCAGGCUUGGAACCGGGAGAGGUAAGAGGUACUACAGGGGUAGGAGUGAAAUCUUGUAAUCCCUGUGAGACCACCUGUGGCGAAGGCGUCUUACCAGAACGGGUUCGACGGUGAGGGACGAAAGCUGGGGGCACGAACCGGAUUAGAUACCCGGGUAGUCCCAGCUGUAAACGAUGCUCGCUAGGUGUCAGGCAUGGCGCGACCGUGUCUGGUGCCGCAGGGAAGCCGUGAAGCGAGCCACCUGGGAAGUACGGCCGCAAGGCUGAAACUUAAAGGAAUUGGCGGGGGAGCAC